rnacentral:rRNA from 1 species
AGCGAACGCUGGCGGCAGGCCUAACACAUGCAAGUCGAACGGCAGCACCGUAAUAGCUUGCUGUUACGGGUGGCGAGUGGCGGACGGGUCAGGUAUACAUCGGAAUCUUCUUUUUCGUGUGGGAUAACGUAGGGAAACCUACGCUAGUACAGCAUACGACCCACGGGUGAAAGCCGGGGACCUUUGGACCUUGUGGGGAUGUAUGAGCCGAUGUCGGAUUAGCUUGUUGGCGGGGUAAAGGCCUACCAAGGCGACGCUCGGUAGCCGGUCCGAGAGAAUGAUUCGGCAGACGGGAAGUGAGACAGGGCCCAGACACCUAGGGGGAGCAGCAGUCGGGAAUAUUAGGCAAUGGGGGCGAGCCUGAUCCAGCGAUACCGCGUGGGGGAAGACGGCGUCCGGGUGGGAAAGCCCUGUUGUUGGGAGAAAAAAGCAGUUGUUUAAGACGCCGCGGUACUGACGGUACCCGGAGAAGAAGCACCGGCUAACUUCGUG